rnacentral:misc_RNA from 1 species
GUGAAUCAUCGAAUUUUUGAACGCAAAUUGCGCUUCCUGGCAUCCCGGGAAGUAUGCCUGUUUGAGGGUCAGUAUUAACAAAAAAAUCGGUUUGGUUGCAAAUUGUGACGUUUCCGGAGUUUGGGCUAUCUUAACUUUUUUGGUUAAGUGGCUUAAAAUUGACCUUUUUUCCCCUUUUUUAUCCUACAUAAAUUUUUUUUUUUUUUUCUUUUUUCUUUAUUCCCAAAUCUUUUUUAUUUCC